GAAACGAGUACUCGAUCGGGUAUCGCGUAGCAGUACUGUACGUACGUCGCGUUUCAGUGGAACUGGUGAUGCGGAAGUCUACACUUAAUUGCAAAAUACUGGUUGAAAUUUUCAUUGGAGCCUGACAUAUAUUGUAAACAUAAACGGAGGGCAGCAGAGAAAAACGUAUUCGGUUCAGUGUAUUCAGGUCAAGGAAACUACCUGGCAAUAGGUAGUGUGGAGAAUUAUACAUGUACACUUCAGGGAAUCAGUUGGGAUUGUUGUGAGAUACAGAACUCUUUGAGAACCAUUUGCUUUCAUGCCACCAAGAAGGAUGAGUGACGUGUUGAUCUGUUUCAGCUGCUGUGUCACAGAACAGCCACCCCCUAGGAGGCAGAGAAUAGACCGAUCGAUGAUAGGACUACCAACAAAUUUCAUCCACACGGGUCACAUAGGGUCAGGAGAUAUGUCACCGCAG